rnacentral:rRNA from 1 species
UGAGACACGGCCCAAACUCCUACGGGAGGCAGCAGUAGGGAAUCUUCCACAAUGGACGCAAGUCUGAUGGAGCAACGCCGCGUGAGUGAAGAAGGUUUUCGGAUCGUAAAGCUCUGUUGUUGGUGAAGAAGGAUAGAGGUAGUAACUGGCCUUUAUUUGACGGUAAUCAACCAGAAAGUCACGGCUAACUACGUGCCAGCAGCCGCGGUAAUACGUAGGUGGCAAGCGUUGUCCGGAUUUAUUGGGCGUAAAGCGAGCGCAGGCGGAAGAAUAAGUCUGAUGUGAAAGCCCUCGGCUUAACCGAGGAACUGCAUCGGAAACUGUUUUUCUUGAGUGCAGAAGAGGAGAGUGGAACUCCAUGUGUAGCGGUGGAAUGCGUAGAUAUAUGGAAGAACACCAGUGGCGAAGGCGGCUCUCUGGUCUGCAACUGACGCUGAGGCUCGAAAGCAUGGGUGGCGAACAGGAUUAGAUACCCUGGUAGUCCAU